rnacentral:lncRNA from 1 species
UUUCCUUCUAAUCAUGCUGAGCAUUGUACAGAAUGUAUCCCUAGUCUCUAUUUUUAGUUUGUGUCCUGGAAAAGGUAGACUUCCUGUGUUGAGAGGUACUAAAAUAGACACUUGAAACUUAAAUGUUUUUCAUGUAAGAGAAUGUAUGCUCUGGCUUAGUUAUGGCCAUCUGAUACAGUUGAAACUUGUAGAGCAACAUCAAUUGUCAAAUACUUCUGACAUCUUGGCAGCAAGCUUGAGCUUCUUCGUGGAUGUGUAAUUUAUUGUCAUCUUUUCUUCUUUAGUCCUGCCAAAUAUAUGACACCCAUAAAAACAUAUGCCUUUGGCAGUCUGUGGCACAUUCCUGCUUCUCAGCAACUUGAUAGGCUGUGGGAAACAGCUUCACUUCAGCAGGAUGGCUGUGGUGCGAGUUCAGUGCCUGCCAUACAGCUGACAUCUAAGAGCAGGUACAGAAGCUGGUGUCAUGAGGAAGUGAGCCUAGAUAGCAGCAUAGUGAGUGAUGUGGGAGUGGAGCAUGGGAAGCUUCUUGGAAAAGAAGAAAGGGGUAUAGACUGGAAGUUUCCUUCAGCGUUACUGAUAGAGCAUGUGUCUGUUUUGGCUAGAAUACUUCUCACUUACCCCAACAGAUUUAGGAGGACAGAGAUAGAGAGCAUGAGUUUGAACUGAUAUGAAUGCCUAUGCAGGGUGAGAUAGGAUGGGUUGGUAUUAUCUAAUGUGCUUCUAGCUGAUGAUAUUUAAACUCAAGAGAACCUGUAGAUUUUGAAAGGCCUAUGUAAUUCAAGCAGUUUCUUAUCAGUAUAGUACUAUUGUCAAUAUAGUACAACAAUUUUACCAAGUGGGAGUUUCUAUUUCUACCGUGGGCAACUCAGAAGAGAAUAGAAAUUGAAAUUAGACAUGGGGAAGAAAGUUGCUUCAAGCAUGUAAAAUUCCACCUAUAAUUGUAGUAUAGCUAGUCUAGCAUAUUAUUUCUUAAAUUCAGAAAUAAACUUCAGUGAACAUCAGAAGAAAAAAAGAGACAGAAAAAUAUCUGCUUCUGUAUAGCCUGUCUUUUAGCUGCGUGCUGAGUUGUGCAUAAUUGUAAUAGAUACUCAAACUUUAGAACUUAAAAUGCAACAACUACCCCUAUAGUUUUCAUUUGAAAACGAAAGUAUCUGCUAUUGAAAUAACUGAAGCAAAGAGAAGCUGCAUGAUGCAGCUAACAGACAAACAAAACUAGACUAUGAUUUUUGUAGAUGGAGUAGGUGGCAAAAACUACUGUAAAGUUUUGUUAGCCCUGCCCGUUGUGCUCAGGAUUUACCUUCAACUGCAAACCUGAAAAGCUUCUGUUCCCUCUUUAAGAGAACAUAGUUUCAAAUU